AGUACCUAGGUUGUGUAGGUAGAAUUGUUUUUAAUUUUUUACAUUUAACGAAUAUACCCUGAUACUUUAACCGUUAGUACGUUAAAGUAUUAGAGAUUAUUUAUACUAUCCAGUCUUAGUUCUUCACUUUUUGUUAGUGUAACAUACUUAAAGUGAUCUGUGCUUUUUGUAUCCUUUGUAAUAAUAUGGAGAUUGUGCAAGAGAAAAACCCUCUAGAAAUAGAGAAACCAUCGAAGUAUACAAUUUGCUCUAGAAAUAGAGCCGGGAGACCAAUUAGAAAUAAAAUUAUUAUGUUUAGUGCACAACCAAAAUCUAUCAUAUCUCAAUAUCUGAUUGGAGAACUUAAACAAUCUGUUGAGUCUAAAGAAAAAUCGUACUGUGUCAAAGAUGGGGAAGAAAUCAAAAGUACACAUGUAAACAGAUCACAAAAAUAUUUAGUUGGCGCUAAAGCAACUCCCAAAAUAUAUUGUUGUCCAUUUCAAGAUUGUUCAUACUCUUCUUCAAUAUCAUCUAAUUUAUUAAAACACAAAAGAACUCAUAAUUUAGAUAAGCUUUAUUUAUGUGAUCAAUGUACUUUUAGUACCAAUUUUUCCAAUUCUCUCAAAGUACAUAUGCGUAUACAUUUGAACAACAAACCAUAUCAGUGUCUCCACUGUGAUUAUAGAUGUAAUAGUAGCUCAAAUUUAAAAAAACACAACGGUCAUAAACAUUCUGAUGUGCAAUCUAAAUAAUUAAAAGAUUAUCUUUUUCUAAAUAAUAUAAUAUUAUUUGUAUAAUUAAGACCAAUGUUUAUAAAAAGACCAACCAAAAAAUUGCCAAAAAUUAAGAAAUAUAAAAAACUUCCAAAGAGUAAUUUUAACUUUCAGAAAUUAUAAACCUCUUAUUGUAAAAAAUGUAGUCAGGCCACUCUGGUUCUCAUGGCCUGAAUUAAUUGUUUUGAAAUCAGACAUUACUCAAAAUAACUUAUAGGAUGUAUAUUAUAUAUAAUUCUAUAUGAGGAGUUGAAUUAAACCUGUAAUAAUAAUUAUUGCAGGGGUUCUCAAAUGUGACUAGAUAAAAAAUUAAACAAAGUAAAAAAGUAUUAUAUUUAUAUUUUCUAAUAACCUAAAACCCUUUAUUGUAUAAUAGUAACUGGUAUAAAUAAAAUGUAUACCCAAAAAGGCUGUCUUAAAAUAUAUGUUUUUACCACCAAACUUACAAACAAUGUGUUAAUUAGACAAUUCAAAAUAUUUUUGUGGCAAUUAGUUGAAAUUAUGGCCUAAAAUUAAUGUUUUGUGCUCAUUAAUAGGUUAUCAACCAAGGAACCAACAUGUUAAUGAGCCAUCAAACUAAUUUAAUGUGAGUUUGCAAAAUAAAAGAAAGCAAAACCUUUAGGAUAUUUUGUGAAUUAAAAUUACAAACCAUAUUUCUAUGGAAAUUAUUUAACUCUUGUGGAGAAGAUAUUGAAUACAAAUAUUUGGGCAUUAACCUCCCAAUUUGCUAAAUGAUCUCAAUAGAUUGGUGACCUUAAAGACUGUGGUGAAUCCGACAUUCCAUGAAAGAGAAUACAUGCAACUCUGUUUUUUUUUGUUUUUACAAUGUUGUGGAACAAUGAUACAUUCUAAUAAAAAGUAGUGAAAACUUUUUAAAGCUAGGAAUACCCUUUGUGUGGUUUUAUUUCAUAUUAAUUUGUAGAGUACAAAGUAGGUACAUAUUAUAUCUUCUCUGACAUUACAUAUAUGCAUAGCUUAGAUAAUUCUCUUGUAAAUUUAUGUAUGCAUUAAAUAAACAAUAAUAACUACUGUAAAUAAAUGUUCUUGAUCAAUAUUAUCUGCUAUUUUAUUUGUUCACUUACAAGUUAUCAGUUAAUACUGUACAAAUAAUGAAAACAAACAUUUAUGAGUACCCUUUCAUCAUCAUGAUGGUUUGGCAUAUCUGAUUGUUAAUGGUCUCUAAUUACUCAUUCAUUGGAUUGCUUUGUUUGUUUGUGCAUUUGGUGGUAAAGUAUGUUUUGAGUUUCAAUAUUGUUUAAAUAUCAUUAACAAUAGUAAUACUUGGACAAUGUAUCUUAUUAGUACAUCAGUGACAAUGUUCUGUGAAAUCCACCACAACUGAUUCUCGCCAGCCAAAGAGAAAGUAUCCUGUUGCUGAACCUAGCACAACAGCGGCACAUAACCAAACAUUAUAUGUCAUAAACACUAACAUUAACAUGUAGCUAACAAAUACUUGGAUACCGUGCAGUCCAGUCUGCCAAACAUGUGCUGAGCUCAUCAUUGUAGGUCUGAAACAAGAUUGCGCAAUAUUGGAACAGCAUAAUUAUUAAAAAAAAAAACUACAUGAUAUUGUUUCUUUAUAUACUUACAUGUUCCUGUCAAGUACAUGUGGAACUGGCCUAAAAAAAUAAAUAUUAUU